UUGUAAUUUUUAAAAACAUUCCUGUAAACUAGGCCAGACGUGUCUUAAGGAGGAAGGAAAAGGAAUUUACCUCUCUUUGACUUCCGUUACUUAAGUGCUGUUUUUGUUUGUUUCCUCAGGGGAAAACACAAUACUAAGCAGCAAAAAAAAAAAAUGGGAAGAAUGCAUAUUUUUAAGGACAGCCAAAAUACAAAUGAGAGUCACUGACCUGCAGCAUGCCAAUACAACUCCACAGGUGAUCUCCUAAAAUAUAUCAGAACCAGUACCAAGUGAUGUCUCACAUUGUAUUUAUAAUACACAUGUCGAAGCAGUACAUUUAAGAAGAAAUCUGGGACAGUUUUUGUAAUCAAGGCUCACCGACUGACUGCAGCUGUAACUUCAACUUGCCAAUGUACACCAUUGCUCACAAGAGGGCCAGUUGAGAGAGUCUGAAUGAAUUUAUUGCCAGCUCUUUCCCAUUUCUAAAACAAAGCAAUUUUGUGGACUUGUUACUGAUCAAUCAGAGAACCAUCUUAAUAAACACAUGACAACAUUUCAUAUGGCACCAUUUUCAUUGUAAAUAACAGAGAUUGUAGGAGACAGUACAAAUUAUCUUGGGCCAUUGUCUUAUUUAUAAAUUAGAGUUCAAUUAUGUUUUUCACUGAUUUACAUUCUGACUUGUUAGUUAAUUAUGUUAUUUGCUUCUUUUAUGCUCACUCUCCUCUCCCCUUAGAUCUGGCGUGACUAUUCUUUUCUUCAGUAUUCUUUCCCUUGUUACACUGUUUAUGUUCUCUGAGGGGCAGAAUACCUUUAUUAUUAUUAUUAUUUUGAGAAUGCUAAGUAUUUACCUAAUUAUCCUUUAGAGAACAUUGGAAGACAGUACAUUUGAGCAAAUGGAUGAGCAGUGGAGAAGGAUAGCUAUAUAAUUACAUUAUUUCUAGAAGCCACAGUGACAGAAUUGUUUUCUUCUUGCCUUCACAUAUUUUUCCUCUAGGUUACUAUUUUUUUUCAUGACAGAUUUUCAAGCUUAUAAUUGGUAACCUUUUUCUUCCAGUUUGAAAAAAAAACUUUUUAUGGGACAUGCAUAUGCUCAAAUAAAUAUUAUCUAUUAAAAAGUCAUUGAUUUAAGAACUCUAAUGUAUUUGUUCACUGAUUUGAAAAAAUAUGUAUCUAAUACAGUGCUUAUUUUCCAUGUUUGCCUUUUAGUUAAUAUGUAAAGUUAAAGAAGAUUAUCAAAUAAAAUAUUAGGCCAUUCCAACAAUUGAAUAAAUAACAAAUGAGAACAGACCUGAUACAGAAGAAUUAAUUAAUUAAUUUAGGCUGUCAAUCAUUCGCCGAUCAUGCAAUUAUUAAAAGCAUACACUGUGCCUGGAAUUUCUCUAGAUACAAAGGUAAAGGUAA